rnacentral:rRNA from 1 species
UGCAGUCGAACGGUGAAGGGGCCUGCUUUUGUGGGUCCUGGAUGAGUGGCGAACGGGUGAGUAACACGUGAGUAACCUGCCCCCUUCUUCUGGAUAACCGCAUGAAAGUGUGGCUAAUACGGGAUAUUCUGGGUCUGUCGCAUGGUGGGCCUGGGAAAGAUUGCGCCUUUUUUGGUGUUUUUGGUGGGGGAUGGGCUCGCGGCCUAUCAGCUUGUUGGUGGGGUGAUGGCCUACCAAGGCGGUGACGGGUAGCCGGCCUGAGAGGGUGGACGGUCACACUGGGACUGAGACACGGCCCAGACUCCUACGGGAGGCAGCAGUGGGGAAUAUUGCACAAUGGGCGCAAGCCUGAUGCAGCGACGCCGCGUGAGGGAUGGAGGCCUUCGGGUUGUGAACCUCUUUCGCCAGUGAAGCAGGCCUGCCUCGUUUGUGGGUGGGUUGACGGUAGCUGGAUAAGAAGCGCCGGCUAACUACGUGCCAGCAGCCGCGGUAAUACGUAGGGCGCGAGCGUUGUCCGGAAUUAUUGGGCGUAAAGAGCUCGUAGGCGGCUGGUCGCGUCUGUCGUGAAAUCCUCUGGCUUAACUGGGGGCUUGCGGUGGGUACGGGCCGGCUUGAGUGCGGUAGGGGAGACUGGAACUCCUGGUGUAGCGGUGGAAUGCGCAGAUAUCAGGAAGAACACCGGUGGCGAAGGCGGGUCUCUGGGCCGUUACUGACGCUGAGGAGCGAAAGCGUGGGGAGCGAACAGGAUUAGAUACCCUGGUAGUCCACGCCGUAAACGUUGGGCACUAGGUGUGGGGGGCCUUUUCCGGGUCUUCCGCGCCGUAGCUAACGCAUUAA